CCUACGGGUGGCUGCAGUGAGGAAUAUUGGUCAAUGGACGAGAGUCUGAACCAGCCAAGUAGCGUGAAGGAUGACUGCCCUAUGGGUUGUAAACUUCUUUUAUAUGGGAAUAAACUGUUCCACGUGUGGGAUUUUGUAUGUACCAUAUGAAUAAGGAUCGGCUAACUCCGUGCCAGCAGCCGCGGUAAUACGGAGGAUCCGAGCGUUAUCCGUCUUUAUUGGGUUUAAAGGGAGCGUAGGUGGAUUGUUAAGUCAGUUGUGAAAGUUUGCGGCUCAACCGUAAAAUUGCAGUUGAAACUGGCAGUCUUGAGUACAGUAGAGGUGGGCGGAAUUCGUGGUGUAGCGGUGAAAUGCUUAGAUAUCACGAAGAACUCCGAUUGCGAAGGCAGUUCACUGGACUGCAACUGACACUGAGGCUCGAAAGUGUGGGUAUCAAACAGGAUUAGAUACCCGAGUAGUC
rnacentral:rRNA from 1 species